GCUUGUGCAUCGAACGGUUGGCAUGCGGUCUUUUUAUUGUCACCAUAUGCCCUUAGCAUUUUGGUGUUUUCUCUUGGGUUCCUGUGUUGCCUACUGUUGUAAMAGUAUUCCUGUGGCUUAGUAUAUAUGCUCCAAUUAGGUCUCCUUGCGGGGAWGAUGGUGGAUUUUGAUACAAUGCAUGCAUUCCAUUUUAGAUUUGCAUUUGUGCACAGCUAUUGUGGUAUGCAUGUAGUUGUUGUUCUUUUGGAUAYAGUGCAUGCGAUGAAUGUGACUUUAAUUGUCCCGUUCGGUUCUUUCAGUUUACGGUUGCCUUGAAUGACUUUUGCCUUGGUGCUUGUUUUGUACUUCGUUCACGAAGAUAAUGCUUGUACCAUGAGCUUGGUCAUUGAUGGAUGC
rnacentral:misc_RNA from 1 species